GAAACCACUAUUUUUAGUGCUGCAUUUCUAUUUGAUGAAACAGAAGCGUCAUUUACAUGGUUGUUUGAGACUUUUGUAGCUGCACAUAAUAGAAAACAACCUACAACUAUUUACACGGAUCAAGAUGCAGCAAUGGAAAAAGCCAUAAAGAUAGUAUUCACAGAAUCAUAUCAUGGACUAUGCACCUUUCACAUAAUGCAGAAUGAUGUCAAGCAUUUAUCUCCAGUGAAGGAUACAGAGGAAGAUGAAGGCGAAGAGAAAGAUGAAGGUGAACAGGAAGACGAAGGUGAAGAGGAAUCGCAUAUUCUUUAUGAUUUUAGUGCUUGUAUGUUUGGCCACGAAGAUGAGGCAUCAUUUGAAGAAGCAUUUCAGAUUACGAGAUCCAAAGUUCAUAAGCAAACUUAGUUAAAUAGCAUCUACAAGGUCAAAGAGAAAUGGGCUGAAUGUUAUAUGAGAGAUGUCUUCAGUUUAGGAGUGAAAAGUACACAGCUAAGUGAGAGUUUCAACAAUGCAUUGAAGAACCAUUUGAAAUCAGAUUUUGAUAUCAUUCGAUUUCUGAAUCAUUUUGAGAGGUCAGUGCAGGAGAAAAGAGAUAAGGAACUAGAGUCUGAAUUUGAGGCAAAGAAGAAGGUACCAAGAAGACUAAUGUGCACACCUAUGUUGGUUCAAGCAAGCGAAGUGUACACUCCUAUUAUUUUUGAAGCUUUCCAAAGCGAAUAUGAAAGAUCCAUGGCUGCGUGUGCUAGAGCUUUGGAUGGGGAACACAAAUAUACUGUUGCUGUUGGGAAUUUGCUUGGUGAGGUAAGUUCUGAGCUGGAGUACACAGUGAUCGGUGAUCCUCUAAACCAAAAAGCUUCAUGUAGUUGUAGAAUGUUUGAAAGGGCAGGAAUAUUAUGUGCACAUGGUCUGAAAGUUCUUGAUCUAAUGAAUAUAAAGAAAUUGCCACCACAUUAUAUCUUAAAGAGAUGGACUAGAGAGGCACGCAAUGGAAAUAUACAAGAUAGGCAAAGAAGGAAUGUGGUAGCAAAUCCAAAAUUGGAAUCUCAAAUACGGUACAAGGUUGUCUCAUAAGUUUCAUAAUUUGGCACAUAAAGUAGCCAGCUCUCCAGAAUGUUGUGUACUGUUAGAAAAUGCACUUGAUUGCCUUUCUACACAGCUUGAGGAGAAACUCAGUUUACUAUCUUCUGGUGCUACAAAUGAGCCCUGUGAGGACAAAGAAAAUAUUGACCCAAAUGUGCAGCAAAGAGAGGAUUUGCUUAGUGCUGCACAACUAAAGAAGAAGGAAGUUCAGUCAAACAAGUCAAGAAGAACUACAACUUGGAUUGAUAAGCUACGCAAGAAGAAGCGCAAGAAUCCUAAAUCUGCAAUAUCAACAAAAAAAGGAGUAAAGCAACAAAAGAAAAAUGAUGGUUCCCAGCCACACGUAGAAAUGAAGGCUGAUGGCAGCCACAAAGAAAUAACUGUGGAGGUUGAACAAUACAAUAUCAUUAGCAAUUUUACCCAACUUGUGGCAGCACCAACUUAUGAUGAUGAUAUUCUCUGUGACCACGAUCUGUUCUAGCAUUUGCAAGGUGGUUAUAUGGCUUUUGGAGAGGGUGGUUUGAUGGCUUUUGCUUUUGGACAGGAUAGUUAGGCAUGACUAACUAUAGCAUUUUGUGGUCCUCAAUUUAGUAUUUUGGAAUGGGCUAACUAAUAGAUUUUGUGGGCAAAUUGUACAAGUGAAUAUGGCCUACACUUAGUGAAUUGGGCUAACUUAUCUCCCAAUCAUUAUAUAUGCUCCUAAAACUUCUAUA